UCCUUUUUUUUUUUUUUUUUUUUUCCAGUCAGAGUUUCCCUCUUGUUGCCCAGGCUGGAGUGCAAUGGCAUGAUUUUGGCUAACUGCAACCUACACCUCCCGAGUUAAAGUGAUUCUCCUGCCUCAGCCUCCUGAGUAGCGGGGAUUACAGGCACCUGCCACCACACCCGGCUAGUUUUUGUGUUUUUAGUAGAGAUGAGUUUCACCAUGUUGACCUGGCUGGUCUUGAACUUCUGACCUCAGGUGAUCUGCCCACCUCAGCCUCCCAAAGUGCUGGGAUUACAGGCAAGAGCCACCACUCCUUGCCAUCCCUCAUGUUUCUUAUUGAGACCCUGUAAUCACUUGCUAUACCCAUUCUCUGUCUGUGACACUGAAGUCUUUCUUCUCUUGUAACAGUCAUUUACCUUUGGUCUCCGCUGUCCGAAACUGUCGAAGUAUACCACCUUUCCUUUCAACACUGUCAUGGAAUACAGAAAUUAGUCUUUGCUUGCUGUUUUCAUUUUACUGUGGAGGUAUUGCCAGAGCAUGACAUAAAAGAUUCAUUUCAAAAGGUGAUUCUUAGAAAAUAUGGAAGCAGCGACCUUAAUACUUUACAUUUAAAGAAAGACUACCAAAGUGUGGGUAAUUGCAAGGGGCAGAAAAGCAGUUACAAUGGCCUUCAUCAAUGUUUGUCAACUACCCGUAGCAAAACCUGUCAAUGUAAUAAAUGUGGUAAAGCUUUUGGGUUGUGCUCAAUCUUCACUGAACAUAAGGAAAUUUUUAGCAAAGAGAAAUGCUACAAAUGUAAAGAAUGUGGCAAAGACUGUAGGUUGUUCUCAGAUUUUACUGUACAGAAGAGAAUCCAUACUGCAGAGAGAUGCUACAAAUGUGAAGAUUGUGCCAAAGUUUUUGAAAAGUUCUCAAACCUUACUGAACAUAAUAGAGUUCAUACUGGAGAGAAACCCUACAAAUGUGAAGAAUGUGGCAAAACCUUUACCUGUUCCUCAACCCUUAUUAAACACAAGAGAAAUCAUGCUGGAGACAGACCCUGCAAAUGUGAAGAAUGUAACAAAGCAUAGAGGUGGUUCUCACACCUUGCUAAACAUAAGAGAAUUCAUACUGGAGAGAAAUCCUACAAAUGUAAUGAAUGUGGAAAAGCUUUUACAUGGAUCUCGGUCCUUACUCAUCAUAAGAAAAUUCAUACUAGAGAGAAACCCUACAUCUGUGAAGGAUGUGGCAAAGCCUUUACCCGCUCCUCAACCCUGAUUAGCCACAAGAGAACUCAUAUGGAAGAGAGACCCUACAAAUGUGAAGAAUGUAACAAAGCCUACAAGUGGUUCUCAAACCUUGCUUGAUGUAAGAUAAUGCAUACUGGACAGAAACCCUACAAAUGUAAUGAAUGUGGAAAAGCUUUUACGUGGAUCUUUUCCCUUAGUCAACAUAAGAGAAUUCAUACUGGAGAGAAACCCUACAAACGUAAUGAAUGUGGAAAGGCUUUUACGUGUAUCUUGGCCCUUAGUCAACAUAAAGUAAUUCAUAUUGGAGAGAAACCCUACAUCUGUGAAGAAUGUGGCAAAGCCUUUACCUGCUCCUCAACCCUUACUAACCACAAGAGAAUUCAUAUGGAAGAGAGACCUUACAAAUGUGAAGAAUGCAGCAAAACCUUUACGUGCUUCUCAGACCUCACUAAUCAUAAGUCACACUGGAGAGAAACCCUACAAAUGAGAAGAAUGUGGCAAAGCAUCGAGCUCGUUCUCACACUUCAUUAGACAUAAGAGAAUUCAUACUAGAGAGAAGCUCCACAAGUGUUAAAAAUGUGGAGAAGCCUUUAACAAGUCGUCAUAUUGUGUUCAACAUCAGAGACAAUACGGAACAAAUACAGUAUAAAUUUAAUGACUGUUGAAGAACAUUCAACAUCUUGGAGGGUCUCUAAGAACUUGCUUCAUAAUCUGGGUGCUUUUGUGUUGGGCGCAUAUAUAGCCCUUUACUAUUAUGUAAUGCCCUUGUAUUUUUUUGUUUUUUUAAAUCUGUGUUGAUUUAAAGUUUCUUUUUCCAGAAACUAGGAUUGCAAUCCCUGCUCUUCUUCUGUUUUCUAUUUGCUUGGUAGAUUUUUCUUUUUCCCUGUAUUUUGAGCUUAUUUGAGAAGGGUGUCUCGAUUACAGCAUACCGUUAGAUCUUGAUUCUUUAUUCAGCUUGCUACUCUAUUUUUUAAUUGGAGCAUUUAGCCCAUUUGCAUUUAGGGUUAAUAUUCAUAUGUGUGGAUUUGAUUCUGUCAGUAUGAUCUUAGCUGGCUGUUUUGCACAUUUUUUUAUGUGGUGGCUUUAUCGUGUCAGCAGUUUGUGUACUUCAGUAUGUUUUUGUAGUGACUGGUAAUCAUCUUUUUCUUGUUUAGUGCCUUCUUCAAGAGCUCUUGUAAGGCAGGUCUUGUGGUAACAGAUUUCCUCAGCAUUUGGUUUUCUGAAUAGGAUCAUAUUUAUUUUUUGCUUCUGAAGGUUACUUUGGCCGGAUAUGAACUUCUGAGUUAGAAUUAUUUUUUAAGAAUGUUGAGUAUUGGCCCUUAAUCUCUUCUGACUUGUAGGAUUUCGGUUGAAAGCUUUGUUGUUUGUCUGAUGGGCUUCUUUUUAGAAGUGACCUGGUCUUUCUCUCUAGCUGCCUUUAACAUAUUUUUUCUUUGAUUUUGACCUUGAAGAAUCUCAUGAUUAUGUAUCUUGGGGAUGACCACCUCAUGCGGUAUCUCACUGGGGUUCUCUACAUUUUCUGCCUUUGAAAUGUUGGCCUCUGUAUCUAGGUUAGGGAAGUUCUCAUGGAUGUUAUCCUGAAAUAUGUGUUUCAAGUUGUUUUCUUACUCCUAUUGCUUUCAGGCACUCUCUUUAAUCAUAGAUUUGGUUUCUUCACAGGUUUCUUUACAUAAUCCCAUAUUUCUCAGAGGUUUUGUUCAUUCUGCUUUAUUCUUUCUUCAGUAUUCUUGUCUGUCUUGUUUCAGAAAGCCAGUCUUGAGGCUCUUGAGAUUCUUCCCUCUGCCUGGUGUAUUCUUCUAUUAAUACUUGUGGUUACAUUAUAAAGGUUUUGUAUUGUGUUUUUCAGCUCUAUUAGUUUGGCCAUAUUUUUCUCUAGACUGGUUGUUUUUUUCCGUCAGUUCCUGCAAUUUUGUCCUUCCUUGCAUUUGUCCUUCCUUGCAACUUACUUUUGUAGCUCAGUGAAGUUUGUCUCUAUCCAUAUUCUGAAUUUUGCUUCUGUCAUUAAGCUUAGGCCAUACUGGAAAUGUAAUUUGGUCAUUUGGAUGAAAGAAGUCACUCUGGCUUUUUGUGUUUUCAACAUUUUUGCACUAAUUUUCUCUCAUCUCUGUGGGCAUAUCUUUGAAGUUGCUGAACCUUAAAUGGGGUUUUGGAUUUUUGGAUCCUAUUUGAUGGUCUUGAGUAUUUGAUUGUGGUAAAAGGUGGAUUCAGCCAACAAGCUUUGUUCCUGGGAGAUUUUUUUUUUUUUUUUUGGUGACGGAGAGGAGGUAAUGCUCAGCUCACAACUCAAGAGUCUGUAUACUCUAACUCUGGGGGACUUGUAUUGAGCCCCAACUGUGUUCUGUGGCUCCUUGUGAUUUGGAGUCCACCACUCUAUGGGACUAACGUGCCACAGCUGUAGCAGAGUGCUAGUGGAUAUGGGGUUUCUGCCUGUCUUUGGGUAUUCACCUCAGUGGCAGGAGCAAAGCUGCUGGCGGGGGAGUAGGGGCUACCUGCUGGAGACUGUGUGCUGUUGCACUAAAGGUAGUGUUGGCUUGGGGCAGGAUACUGGCCAGUGAAGGUUUUGAUGCCUUCUCUGUGUCCCCCAAGAAGGAGUGAUUGUUCAGAGUGUGGGAGGAUACCCUGUUCUCCCCACAGUGUUACCAGAAAGGCCAGGGUGGGGCUUUCUGGCUGUCUACCCACCAAAGCUUCAUCUACAAUGGCAAUUGCUUGGGGGUGGCAGGGUCAUACUGCAUUUCCAUUUGAUGGUGGAGCAAGCAAAGCCAAACUCACCUUUGCAGGCAUAUGCCAGCAAAGUAAUUUGGGGAGUUGUCAUGGUCUCAGGGGAAGCUGUAGUAUGGGGAAGAAACAUGUGGGCUGGUCCAUUCAUAGACGCUGCCUUGCUGGAGCUCUUCAUGGGUCAGGCAUGGCCCACCAGUGCAUAUGCUCUGAUAUGGGCUCCUAAUGUACCUGAGACUGCCCUGUAAGCAGCUGUGGUCAGACUAGGUCCCUGGGAGAGGCCAGCAGACCAAGGAGUGCUCAGUUGGACCAGCUUCUUCUGAUUUGCAAGACCAUCCUGCAGAAAUUAGGUCCAACAGUUCCCCUAAGGAUAAAGUCUCUUAUGGGAGAAAGUUGAGCCUAGAGAAAUGGCCAUCAAUGGCCACACUUUAUUACAGAUGCUCUUGAGCUCAACCCUCUGGGCACCACAUGAGCUGGCUUGCUGCCCCACCUCUUUGCUUGUCUUCUGGGGGCUGCAUCUCAGAGACGUUUAGGCCAGUAAUCACUCAGUGCAGUCUGCCCAGGAUGGAGGAUCUGUGCUUUUGGCCAAGUUAGUUGUUCACUGUCUGGUGAUAAGCAGUGUGUAGUUUGUGGGACCCAUGGAGGAUGGACUGGCCUCCUCUCCUUGGGUAAACUGCAGCUUGUUUGAGGUGUGAAUAAGGCACUUAGGGUUUUGGAUUUUUCAUUAGUCUGAGAGUAGCAAGGACAGUUCUACUGCAGAAGCAGAGGCAGAAAUAUUUUCAGUUGCACCUGGAGGCUCUGGCCAGGGAGUUUCUAAGUUGCUACUGGCUGAAUAGCUCUGGAAGAAAUUGGCUAGUGGCCCAGGCCUGGAGAACCUGACCAGUGAGAAUAUAUGAGAAAAGGCACUCACGUAACAGUCUGGCCACUUUACUGAAGGGCUGCUGCAGUAUGCUGGGUGUCCACUGCAGUUUCUAGUCACCUCAGAUUUUCCAGCAUCUGACUUUUAACACUGCUGAAUGCUGCAAAACAGCAACAAUGACAACAUGCCCUUUUCUCUAAGGGCUCCAUCCCAGGGAGGUACAGGCCUGUUUCCAGCCCCAAAGCACCUGUAGAAGGUACCUGGAAACCCCUGUUGAAAAGUCUUAGCCAGUGAGGAGAACAUGAUUGGGGACCCACCUAAGAAAGUAGUGUAGGCUGGGUGCAGUACCUAGCACUUUGUGAGGCCAAGGUAGGUGGAUUGCCUGAGCUCAGGAGUUCUAGACUAGCCUGGGCAACCUGGUGAAAUCCUGUCUCUACUAAAAUACAAAAGAAGAAAAUUAGCUGGGUGUGGUGGCGUGCACCUGUAAUCUUAUCUACUCGGGAGGCUGAGGCAGGAGAAUUGCUUGAACCCAGGAGGCAGAGGUUUCAGUGAGCCAAGACUGUGCCACUUCAUUCCAGCCUGGCGACAGUGGGACUCUGUCCCAAAAAAAAAGCAGUCUAGCCACAUUUUUAUAGGAUAGCUCUGCUGUGCUGAAGUACCACUUCCACCCCCAGUUUAUUUGGACUCUCCAAAGCCAGAAGGCUGGAACAGCUAAGUCACACAAACAGCAAAAAUGGCAGCUCACUCUUCCCUCUAGGAACUGUAUCCCAAAGAGGAUUCAAAACUCCGUUGAUCAAAGAGCACCAGUGGUGGUAGCUGGAGACCCUGGUUGGGAAGCAGUUUGCAGUUAGGAGGAACUAGGUUGGGGACCUGCUUUAACAGAUAGUCUGGCCAUGUCUUUUUAGAGCACCUGUACUGUGCUAGGAGAUGCUUUCUGCCCCCAGUCAGCUUGGGCUCUUCAAAGCAUGAAGGCUGGAAUGGCUAAGUUGCCCAAGAAGCAAAGAUGAUGGCCCAUUCCUCUUUCUGGUAGCUCCAUCCCUGGGGGUGCAGUGCUGCUACCAGUGGUUGGCUGUAAUUCUAAGCCAGUAGGUGUUACCCUGUGAGGCACUGUGGAAGUGGGUCCUACGGACCAUCACUGCUCAGCCACUUGGGUCCCGCCUCUUUCCCAUGGGUAUGUACAGAGGUGUAAUGUCCUACUUUGCUGGAGUUGCAGCUACUUUUUCUGGGAAGCCUGGAAAGCCAGAGUAUCUAAGACUCUUGAAUCUCUAUGCAGGCCUCAGUGGCUGCUCUGCUGAGACUCCGUGUAGCUCUGUGUGUUAAACUGAAGGCCUUGGUGAAGUGGGUUCAUGAGGGUAUCUCCUCACCUGAAGGUUGCAAAGGUCUGUGGGAGAAUCAUGGGUUUCUAGGGUCACACAUGCACUCACUGCCUUACUGGGUGGGGAGGUUCCCUUGGCUCCAUGUUGUUCCUGGGUGGCCCAUUGUCCUGCCUUGCUUUACUCCAUUCUCUGUAAGUUAAGUUGUUUCUUUCAUUAGUUCCAAUGCAAGUACCUGGAUGUUUGAGUUGAAGGUGCUGUAUCUACACACACCUUGCAUUCCUCUCUAUGAAGCUACACAGUCUAGCUCCUUCUACUUUUUUAUUUUAAAAGAAUUUAAUAUAUUUUCAAAAGCAAGUAUUCAUAUAAUUUAACUCUUACAUUUGAUGCUAUGUCUUCAUUCUAGAAUUUAUGUGAAAGAACAUGGUCAAUGGUUGCUGCACCAGAGUUAGGAGAAGUUCUUCCAUAUUAGAUAAAAAGAUUUAUAUACUUUCCCAUGGAAGAUUAAGGAAACUGAAAUCUAAGAUACAUGAAGAAAUUCUAAGUGGAAAGGCCACUUAGUGGUUGGCUUACAGCAGUAUUAUAAGUGACAGGGUGAUAGAAGUGUGGUAAGUGAUUAGGAUAAUAUUCUGCAUAGUAAGAGAAACAAUUUGAAUUUUAGGAGAAAAUUGCUUCACCAUUUGCAAACUAAGGUAAUUAAAAUACAGUGAAUUUCAAAAUGCCUUUUUAAUGACAAUGUGUGAACUUGUUUUAAUAAACCAAAAUUGUUGUUAUUGAGUUAAGGCUAUUUUACACUGAAUGUGUAUCUUGCCACGGAUGUUAACUUAUCUCAUCUUACCCAAGGUUGUAGGUCAACAGAUGGUAACAAUAUACUAUUGUGUGACUGUGGAAUAACAUCUCUAGUGAUUUCUUUGUCAGUGGUCUUUAACUUAACAUAAUUUGGAGAAUAUGAUUCCUACAAAUUAACAUUUUUGUUUUUCUUGUAACUACAGGUUAUUAUGAUGGUUGUAAUGAAGAUUAUAUGAGUAUAAUGGAGCUGUAUGUUUCUGAAUUCUGAACAACUAGUUACAAAAUAUUCUACUUUUUUCUGUUGAACAUGUGACGUAUCUGGUCUGCUAAACACAUACAGACCUUUAGUUUUGAUAUAUAUGGAUUUAAAUAUACAGACGGGUAACUGUAAAAUAAACUUUAGUUGUAACAGAUUUAUAGAGAAAGUAAUCAUUUGUUUAUGUUUGUAUACCUAUUUUGAAAAGAAAAGAAAAAUAUUAGAAUGAAACAUAAUUUUACAAGUGUUGAUAUCUUACCAGCAAACCAGAAAUUUCAAAGAUUUUGAAAGCAAAUCUAUUUUCUCUGCUUUGUAUUAAAUUCAUUUAUCUAAAAUGUUAUUGCUUCUGGCUUAGAAUUAUUUUGUGCAAAUUCUUUUUCUUUUUUUGGUUUGUCUGUUUGCCUGUUGCUCACCAUAGACAUAAUGUAUACUUUUCUGUUCAUCUAAUUUCAUAAAACAUUCUUUGUAUAAUCCCCUCAGAGAUUAUGACAGUGACUGAUAAAAUUUAAUGGUGUUCACAGAAUAAUUUUCACAUGUGAGUAAUUUCACACUGAGUUUAUUAUUGUGUUAUUUAUUCAGUACAUUUUCUGUUUUGUUUAGAGAAUGCUAUUUAAUCCAAUUUUCAUUUAGUUAUUGAUUAUUUUACUUUAUAAAAUUGAUAUACUUUAUUAAAUAUAUUGGGUCAAUUUA